UACGAAGGGGGCUAGCGUUGCUCGGAAUCACUGGGCGUAAAGCGCGCGUAGGCGGCUCGUUAAGUCGGGGGUGAAAUCCUGGAGCUCAACUCCAGAACUGCCUUUGAUACUGGCGAUCUUGAGUCCGGGAGAGGUGAGUGGAACUCCGAGUGUAGAGGUGAAAUUCGUAGAUAUUCGGAAGAACACCAGUGGCGAAGGCGGCUCACUGGCCCGGUACUGACGCUGAGGUGCGAAAGCGUGGGGAGCAAACAGG
rnacentral:rRNA from 1 species